rnacentral:lncRNA from 13 species
AUGCAGCUACCCAGUAUGGAAACUUCUCAGUCUCCAGAACUGUUAGGCUAUGCUGCCUACAUUGGAUACAUCUGCCCUAAUCAACCUCUGGAUCUUAUUCUCUGCUCCUCAAACACAUCGCAGAGAAGAAUAUACACACAGAAGGUGAUGGGAGCAAAUUGAAAAGAGCCUGCAAUUCCAACUACCAGAGUCAAAGAGUGGCUGAAAAGAUCUCUGGGAAGAGUCAUGGAAUCAGGUAAAACUCAGGGUAUGUGGGGAUGAUGAGUCACAUGAUGUGGCCAGAGUGCACAGAGCCCAGGAAGACGAAGGACAGGAACUUCUUAGAAAGCUGGAGACACAGAUGGAGUCACAGGAUAAAGGUAGAUGCCAUCACAAGGAAUUUAUAUAAAACCCAUAACCUAAGUUAUAGAAAGUCUUAAAAUCUUUGCAAGGUAACUUUUUUUCGGAUGACCUAAAUAUACUGGAUUAUUUUGUGUUGCCAUGAGGUCUGUCUCUUUGAAAGCCUGUGAAAACUACUGAAGCUUCUGCCUUAUUCAAAGAAUCAACAUCCUUAAGAAGUUAACAUAAUGGGGUGAUAUAAGCAUACACUAUGCAGUCAGAUGUAGAAUCUUUGCUGAUUCAUCUAUUCAACAAGCCAAUGACCUUGGGCAUAUGGCUUAAACCCUCUGAGUAUCAGUUAUGAAAUGGCAUCUUAGUUCAUGUGACCCAAUAGGUGGUUUAAAUGGGGUAGCCCAGUAGAUGUAUAAUAAAUGUAACAUUUUGAAGAGAGGGCCA